rnacentral:tRNA from 1 species
GGCCACGUAGCUCAGUUGGCUAGAGCGUUGGCUGUAGUAAAGCCUUCCACUUUUUGGUGUGGGUUCGAAUCCCAUCGAGGUCG